GGUGACACCCAUUACUUCCCCACAUUUCUUCCCUUUCUUGGCCAUCUUCGAGUCCUUCGAUAUCGAAAGCGCUGCUGUCCUCCGUUUCACCAGCGGUGCUUUCGUCAAGAGACGAGUCAUCGUUGACCAAAAGGUAUGUAAUUGUCCCUAAGUUCUUUUACUCAACCAAAAAGAACGAAGAGAGAGAGAGACAAGAGUGAUUUUGAAAGACAAGAAACUAUGCGAAAACCUAAUUGUUGAUUCAUUUUGAAACGGGUUUCCAGAUCAACGAAGAAAACACAGAGGAAAAUCGCGGGGCAUAAGGGAGAGAAAAGGAAAAUCCAACGAGAAAAUUAAAGAGAAUAUUUUCUUUAAACAAAGCAUACCGCUUAAUUAAGCAAAGUGGAC
rnacentral:lncRNA from 1 species